rnacentral:misc_RNA from 1 species
CUUAUUUACAGAAUAAGUGAAUCAAUACUUAGUAAACAUAUAUAAAAGUACAUUAAGCGAGUUGUCUCGAUUACAAAAAUAUGUGUAAGAUCAUAUUAUUUUAGAGUAAUAAUGACUUCGACAUUUUUUACCUAAUGAAAACCUGAGGUAUUAAGGCAGACCUAUAGAACGAAUAACUUAUCCAACCUACUCCUUUGGGAUUGCAGACUGACCAAGCUUUUUAUUCAAGACAUCCAGUGAAAGUAGGUCAGAAAUAUGAGGAGGUGAGUAUUUCAUAUUUCGGUAAGAAAGGAGAUAUGACCCUUUCUACACGUAUACCUGUCCCUUAACCAAGAACUUGGCUAAUUAUAUUGUAUCAGAUGCUCUUAUCUAAGGACGCAGCUAAUUAUAUUGUAUCAGAUGGUAUAUUGCACAGAAUGGUGAAGGCGAAGGACAAAAACAUGCACAUAGCUGAGAAAGGGGAAGUUCCAUUGAUUCUGUUUCUCCAUGGAUUCCCAUAACUCUUCCUGGCACCAUCAGAUUCUUUCUAAUUCAAUGUAAUAAGAAAUUAACAAUUUCUGAUCACUAUUUUGGAGUACCAACAUGUGAAAUUUCCUGAGUGUGAGGAGAGGAUUGGAGGAAAAGACAAAUGGCCGAUAUAUCAUCCAUUGCAAUUCCCUUCCUCUUGCGUUUCCAUGCAUGUGCUGCUGAUUCAACCAGACGUUUAGCUGCCUUUGCCCUGUCAGCUGUUGAAGAUACAAUUUGCACUGCUUCUUGAUUAGAGAUGACAUCCCAUACCUAUAUCACAAAACUAAUUUUAAGUUCCAAUCUUUUUUCUCAUUGAGUAAACUUUCUAAAACACAUUUCAGAAAUAACAAUGGUUGAUUUUGUCGGAAAUUAUAAGUAUAAUGGAUUAUACAAACCCCAUCAGUUGCCAGCACAACAAAUUGGUCUUUGCUGGUUAUAUGCCUUUGGGUCACUUCAGGCACAGAAACAAGUCCAAAAUCCUUUAUGCAGUAAUCCCCAAAGGCUCUAGACAUUGCUAGUCCUGGUGAUUCCUCAUCUGGCAGCCAAAUUCUGUGCACCCUUGGCUCAUCUUCCAAACAGAACACUCGUCCCUUGCAUUGAAGUAUUCGUUCACACUCCUCAGGCAAAUUGGGCUUGAAGUCAACAGUAAGCUGAACUGGUACCAAGUCUCCAUCAUCUGAGGUGGUAGCCAAUACAGCACGAGAGUCACCAACAUUUGCUACAAAAAUGAAUUCUCCCUGUCUGACAAUUGUCGAGGCUGUUGUUCCACUAUGGAAUGUAUCAAUCUUACGGUGCUGCUCUAGCUCCUGGUCAACAGCAGCACAAGUCUUUAUAUAGGAAUGCUUCCACAUAUUAAAUCUUUGAUGCUUUUUAUCUGAUUCCAAGUCAAUAUCUGGAUCAAGUGAAGUUUGAGCAAGAGUCUCCUGCCAAUGACACAGUAAAGAUGACGGCAUCCAUUCUCGGACUUUCUUUGCAACGAAAUGGCCCCAGGGACCAUGGCCAUCAAAAAUCCCACAAAACAUCAUGUCUUCUUGGCAUCCAAAUUCCUCCCAUACAAUAAAGCUAUCCUGGUUCACUCCUUUC